rnacentral:lncRNA from 1 species
UUUUUCUUUUUUUUUUUUUAAGGGCCACACCUACAGCAUAUGGAAGUUCCCAGGCUAGGGGUCGAAUUGGAACUACAGCUGCCAGCCUACACCACAGCCACAGCAACUCAGGGUCUGGGCCAAGUCUGUGCCCUACACCACAGCCCAUGGCAACACCAGAUCCUUAAUCCACUGAGCGAGGCCAGGGAUUGAACCCACAUCUUCACGGAUACCAGUCAGGUUCUUAACCCCCUGAGCCACCUGGGGAACGCUGGCCUUCUGAUUCUUGGAACAAUCUUUCCCCACAUGAAAGAACUUACUGGCUCCUCGCAAGUUCUGUCCACAUACCCAGACCUAGCAGAAUCUCUCUAAUGAAAACAUUCUGAACUUUGAAGUUUAGAACUCAUAAUUUCCCUUCUGUGCUCAAGCGACCUUGCAAAUUCUCAUAAAUCCCACACAGGCUCCGUAUGACUCAUACCCACACUCUGUUAUAAAAUAGCAGAAGACAUUCCAAACUCUAAUAAAUCAUGUCUGAGGGAAAAGUACAUAGGAAGACACCCGGGGAACCACGAGAUGGAACACACCGUGUCUGGACUCACAGGGAGCAGGGACCAAACACUGUCAUCUCAAAAAACCACACAUAAAAGAAAGAGGUUUCCAAUGAUGCGCUUGCAGGACCCAUAGGACCUCCCCAGAACCCAACUCCCUACCUCCCAUGUCCUCUGCCUGCCUACUGUCUGUAGAAAAACUUUAGUCAAUAAGAAAUUAAAAAAAAAAACAAAACUUUAGUCAAAGAAUAAAUUUAGGAGUUCCGUCAUGGCUCAUGGUUAACAUAUCUGACUAGGAUCCAUGAGGACACAGGUUCGAUCCCUGGCCUCGCUCAGUGGUUAAGGAUCUGACAUUGCUUCAAGCUAUGGGGUAGGUGGCAGAUGCAGCUCAUGGCUGGCGUGGCUGUGGCUGUGGCGCAGGCCUGCAGCUGCAGAUCCAAUUCAACCCCUAGCCCGGGAACUUGCAUGUGCUGCAGGUGAUGCUAUAAAAAGAAAAACGAAAACAAAAACAAAGAACCAGGGGUUCCCACUGUGGUGCAGCAGGACCAGCAGCAUCUCUGCCGCGCCAGGGUGCAGGUUCAAUCCCCAGUCCCAACAAAAUAGGCCGGAGGAUCCGGUGUUGCUGCCUCGUGGGUCACAACUGCACCUCAGAUCUGAUCCCUGGGUGGGGAACUCCAUAUGCUAUGGGGUGACCACAAAAAAGAAAAAAAAUUUAAAAAAAGAAAAGAAAAAGAAUCAAAACAAAACCUAUGCAACAAUCAUACAAUUAGAGCUGUUUUACGAUAAAGAGGGGAAAUACAACAAAAUGUAUAAACUAAUGUUUUACAUUAAAAUAUUUGAUUCAGGAGUUCCCGUCGUGGCACAUUCAUUUACAAGGCUGUGCCAAUUCCUGCUGUACAGCAAAGUGACCCAGUCAUUCAUAGAAUAUACAUACAUUCCUUUUCAUUAGAUUACCUUCCCUCACAGCCAAUCCCAAGUGACUGGAUACAGUUCCCUGUGUUAUACCUCAUUGCUUAUCCAUUCUAAACAUAAGAGUUUGCACCGAGGAACUCCAAACUCCCAGUCCAUCAAACAUUUCUAAAUACAAAAGAAAAUAACCCAAAUGAAUUUCAAGUUCAUGGGAUGUGGAAAAUAUUCAAUAUUAAAUUAAUAGCUGGUCGAGUUCUCACUGGGGCACAACGGGAUCAGUGGUAUGUCUGCAGGGCUAGGAUGCAGGUUUCAUUCCUGGCCAGGCACAGUGGAUUAAAGGAUCCAGCACUGCUGCAGUGUGGUUAGGUUGCAAGUGUGGCUCAGAUCCGAUCCCUGGCCUGGGAAUUCCAUAUGCCUUGGGACAGCCAAAAAAAAAAAGAAGAAAAAAAAAAGAAAAUGUUUACUAAAAGUCAAUAAAUUCAUAUUAUAGCUGUUACAAAAUUUGUCAGCAAGAAAAUUAACUUAGUGUGAUAUUGUCAUAAAUAAUAAAAUAGAGCUAGGAGUUCCCGUCAUGGCUCAGUGGUUAACGAAUUCGACUAGGAACCAUGAGGUUGCGGGUUUGAUCCCUGGCCUUGCGCAGUGGGUUAGGGAACUGGCAUUGCCAUGAGCUGUGGUGUAGGUCGCAGACGCGGUCGGAUCCUGAGUUGCUAUGGCUCUGGCAUAGGUGGGCGGCUACAGCUCCGAUUCGACCCCUAGCCUGGGAACCUCCAUAUGCCGCAGAAUUAGCCCUAGAAACGGCAAAAAGACAAAAAAAUAAUAAUAAUAAAUAAAUAAAAUAAAAUAGAGCUAAAUGGUACAAAAAGUUUAGGUAAACACUUUAGAAAUAAUUAUGUUUUUCCAGAUUCUUAUUAGCUUGAAACUUUAAAGUUUCGCCAAAUUAACUUAAAUGAUAAAAAUUCACUGGAAAUGUAGGUCAUUUUAAACUAAAAUAAAAUGCAGGAACACUGAUUGCUAGACAAAACUAAAUUUGUCUACUUUUGCCUUCUUAAGAAAAAUAAAAUUGAAAUAUUUAUCUUUUCUUUCUACCUGAUCCCUCCAGAAAUUAGAAACUCUCAGGUUCCCAAAAGCCUUGUCAGAUGAACAAGGAAGGUCACCUCUUGACAAAUUUAAGAUCUCAAAAUAUUUUGGGGACAAGGAGAAAACAAAAAUUCACCCAAGUUUAUAGAAACUGCAGCUGGAAUCUGUGAUAAGCCCUUGGUGAGGUUCUCCUGUCCCUGAGAGGCCUUUUAAAAGUUCAGUCUUGGGGGAUCCCGUUGUGGCGCAGCGGAAAUGAGUCCAACUAGGAGCCAUGAGGUUGC